GUGAGGAAUAUUGGACAAUGGGCGCAAGCCUGAUCCAGCCAUGCCGCGUGCAGGAAGACGCAUCUAUGGUGUGUAAACUGCUUUUGUACGGGAAGAAACACUCCCUCGUGAGGGAGCUUGACGGUACCGUAAGAAUAAUGAUCGGCUAACUCCGUGCCAGCAGCCGCGGUAAUACGGAGGAUCCAAGCGUUAUCCGGAAUCAUUGGGUUUAAAGGGUCCGUAGGCGGUUUAAUAAGUCAGUGGUGAAAGCCCAUCGCUCAACGAUGGAACGGCCAUUGAUACUGUUAGACUUGAAUUACAAGGAAGUAACUAGAAUAUGUAGUGUAGCGGUGAAAUGCUUAGAUAUUACAUGGAAUACCAAUUGCGAAGGCAGGUUACUACUUGUGGAUUGACGCUGAUGGACGAAAGCGUGGGGAGCGAACAGGAUUAGAAACCCCGGUAGUCC
rnacentral:rRNA from 1 species